CCUACGGGAGGCAGCAGUGAGGAAUAUUGGUCAAUGGGCGCGAGCCUGAACCAGCCAAGUAGCGUGAAGGAUGACUGCCCUAUGGGUUGUAAACUUCUUUUAUAAAGGAAUAAAGUGAGGCACGUGUGCCUUUUUGUAUGUACUUUAUGAAUAAGGAUCGGCUAACUCCGUGUCAGCAGCCGCGGUAAUACGGAGGAUCCGAGCGUUAUCCGGAUUUAUUGGGUUUAAAGGGAGCGUAGGUGGGUUGUUAAGUCAGUUGUGAAAGUUUGCGGCUCAACCGUAAAAUUGCAGUUGAUACUGGCAGCCUUGAGUACAGUAGAGGUAGGCGGAAUGCGUGGUGUAGCGGUGAAAUGCUUAGAUAUCACGAAGAACUCCGAUUGCGAAGGCAGCUUACUAGACUGCCACUGACGUUGAUGCUCGAAAGUGUGGGUAUCAAACAGGAUUAGAUACCCGGGUAGUC
rnacentral:rRNA from 1 species